ACUCAAAGGAAUAGACGGGGGCCCGCACAAGCAGUGGAGUAUGUGGAUUAAUUCGAUGCAACGCGAAGAACCUUACCAGGUCUUGACAUCUAACUAACGAAGUAGAGAUACAUUAGGUGCCCUUAUGGGAGAGUUAAGACAGGUGGUGCAUGGUUGUCGUCAGCUCGUGUCGUGAGAUGUUGGGUUAAGUCCCGCAACGAGCGCAACCCUUAUGAUUAGUUGCUACGCAAGAGCACUCUAAUCAGACUGCCGUUGAUAAAACGGAGGAAGGUGGGGAUGACGUCAAAUCAUCAUGCCCUUUAUGACCUGGGCUUCACACGUACUACAAUGGCGACGAACAGAGGGGCGCGAAACCGCGAGGUGGAGCAAAUCCCGAAAAAUCGCCUCAGUUCAGAUUGCAGGCUGCAACUCGCCUGCAUGAAGUCGGAAUUGCUAGUAAUCGCAGAUCAGCAUGCUGCGGUGAAUACGUUCCCGGGCCUUGUACACACCGCCCGU
rnacentral:rRNA from 1 species